CAACAACCUCGACCAGGACACAAACUCAAAACUGCGGACUCUGAAUCUGAAAUAUGCAAAAGCUAUGGCGCGGAAGGGUUGUAGAACAGGAAAACAAUAUGGCACUGGACUUAUGGGACGAACACAAGAACACUCGAAACUAAGGGUAGAUGUGAACCUAACGGUAUACCUAAAGCUUUGAUUACCACUUGAUGAGAACAAGGGUGGCCCGAUCUUCCGAAAAGUUUUGGUAACUCUCGAUUUGGUGGAGACGAGACACAAAUCGAUACAGCUUCUGAAUAACACGAUCCGAAACCCUGCAUUUUUUUAUUUUUUUGAUAUUUUUAUUUUACUUAGGAGUGCUAAAGGAGUAACCACAGAAAAUUUGAGCUUAAGCAAGUGACAGACAUGGCCUGUGGAAUUUUCUGAAGAUUGUGAAAAAUGUGAAAAAACUUCACGUAUUGGAAACUCAAACUUCGGAGGCGAAUUUCAGGAUUCUAAAAUUGUCAAACCUGCGAAAGUUAGGGACAAACAGAUUUGAAAUUUUUUCUGAUUUAUUUUGAUAUAUGAAACGUUGAAAUCGGAGUUCGUAUGCGAAGGUUAUGGCUGUUUUACGAACAUACUUCGAAUUAGAGGACAAAACGGUUCGAAAAUGGGAAAAUUUUGCGGCGGUGGCAAGAAAUUGAUGGAAACGGUGGGGAAAAGAUAUGAACUGGACUCUAACAAGACCUAACCAGCAACAAAACCUCGACCAGGACACAAACUCAACACUGCAGACUCUGAAACUGAAAUAUGCAAAGGCUAUGGCGCGGAAGGGUUGUAGGACAGGAAAACGAUAUGGCACUGGACUUAUGGGACGAACACAAGAACACUCAAUACUAAGGUUAGAUGUGAACCUAACAGUAUACCUGAAGCUUUGAUUACAACUUGAUGAGAACAAGGGUGGCCCGAUCUUCUGAAAGGUUCUCAUAACUCUCGAUUUGGUGAAGACGAGACACAAAUCGAUCUGGCUUCCAAACAACACAAUCCGAAACCCCGCAUUUUUUUAUUUUUUUAAUAUUUUCCUUUUACUUAGGAGCACUAAAGAAGUAACCACAUAAAAUUUGAGCUUAAUCAAGUAAAAGACGUGGCCUGCGGAAUUUUGUGAAGAUUACAAAAAAUGUGAAAAAAACUUCACAAGGUGAAAACUCAAACUUCGAAGACGAAUUUGGAGAUUCUAAAAUUUUCAAACCCCCCAAAACCGAGGACAGACAGACACUAAAUUUUUUUCUGCUCGAUUUUGAUAUAUGGAACAUUGAAAUCGGAGUUUGUAUGUGAAAGUUAUGGCUGUUUUACGAACGGACUCCGAAUUAGAGGACAAAACGGUCCGAAAGUGGGAAAAAGGUUCGGCGAUGGCUAGAAAUUUAUGGAAACGGUGGGAAAAAAAAUACAAACUGGACUCUAACAAGACCUAACCAGCAACAAGACCUCGACCAGGACACAAACUCAAAAUUGCGGACUCAGAAACUGAAAUAUGCAAAGGCUAUGGCGCGAGAGGGUUGUAGGACACAAAAAUGAUAUGGCACUGGACUUAUGGGACAAACAUAAGAACACUCGAAACUAAGGGUAGAUGUGAACCUAACGGUAUACCUGAAGCUUUGAUUACCACUUCAUGAGAACAAGGGUGGCCCGAUCUUCCCAAAGGUUCUGUUAACUCUCGAUUUGGUGGAGACGAGACACAAAUCGAUCCGGCUUCCGAACAACACGAUCCGAAACCCUGCAAUUUUUUUUUAUUUUUUUGAUAUUUUUCUUUUACUUAGGUGCAUUAAAGAAGUAACCACAGAAAAUAUGAGCUUAAACAAGUGAAAGACGUGGCCUGCGGAAUUUUCUAAAUUUUGUGAAAAUGUGAAAAAAACUUCACGAGGUGAAAACUUAAACUUCGGAGGCGUAUUUGGAAAUUCUAAAAUUUUCAAACCCGCUAGUGGUAGGGACAGGUAGAGCCGAAAUUUUUUUCUGAUUGAUUUUGAUAUAUGGAACGUUGAAAUCGGAGUUUGUACGCGAAUGUUAUGGCUAUUUUACGAACGGACUCCGAAUUAGAGAACAAAACGGUCCGAAAGUGGGAAAAAUUUGCGGCGAUGGCUAGAAAUUGAUGAAAACGGUGGGGAAAAACAUACUAACUGAACUCUAACAAGACCUAACCAGCAACAACCUCGAUCAGGACACAAACUCAAAACUGCGGACUCUCAAUCUAAAAUAUGUAAAAGCUAUGGCGCGGAAGGGUUGUAGAACAGGAAAACAAUAUGGCACUGGACUUAUGGGACGAACACAAGAACACUAGAAACUAAGAGUAGAUGUGAACCUAGCGGUAUACCUAAAGCUUUGAUUACCACUUGAUGAGAACAAGGGUGGCCCGAUCUUACGAAAAGUUAUGUUAACUCUCGAUUUGGUGGAGACGAGACACAAAUCGAUACAGCUUCUGAACAACACGAUCCGAAACCCUAUAUUUUUUUUAUUUUUUUGAUAUUUUUAUUUUACUUAGGAGUGCUAAAGGAGUAACCACAGAAAAUUUGAGCUUAAGCAAGUGAAAGACAUGGCCUGUGGAAUUUUCUGAAGAUUGUGAAAAAUGUGAAAAAACUUCACGUAUUGGAAACUCAAACUUCGAAGGCGAAUUUUAGGAUUCUAAAAGUGUCAAACCCGCGAAACUUAGGGACAACCAGAUCUGAAAUUUUUUUCUGAUCGAUUUUGAUAUAUGAAACAUUGAAAUCGGAGUUCGUAUGCGAAAGUUAUGGCUGUUUUACGAACAGACUUCGAAUUAGAGGACAAAACGGUCCGAAAGUGGAAAAAUUUUGCGCCGGUGGCCAGAAAUUGAUGGAAACGGUGCGGAAAACACAUGAACUGGACUCUAACAAGACCUAACCAGCAACAAGACCUCGACUAGGACACAAACUCAACACUGCGGACUCUGAAACUGAAAUAUGCAAAGGCAAUGGCGCGGAAGGGUUGUAGGAAAGGAAAACUAUAUAGCACUGGACUUAUGGAACGAACACAAGAACACUCAAAACUAAGGCUAGAUGUGAACCUAAUGGUAUAUAUGAAGCUUUGAUUACCAUUUGAUGAGAACAAGGGUGGCACGAUCUUCUGAAAGGUUCUAGUAACUCUCGAUUUGGUGAAGACGAGACACAAAUCGAUAUGGCUUCCGAACAACACGAUCCGAAACCCCGCAUUUUUUUUAUUUUUUUAAUAUUUUCCUUUUACUUAGGAGCACUAAAGAAGUAACCACAGAAAAUUUGAACUUAAUCGAGUAAAAGACGUGGGCUGCGGAAUUUUGUGAAGAUUACACAAAAUGUGAAAAAAACUUCACAAGGUGAAAACUCAAACUUCGAAGACGAAUUUGGAGAUUCUAAAAUUUUCAAACCCCCUAAAACCGAGGACAGACAGACACUAUAUUUUUUCUGAUCGAUUUUGAUAUAUGGAACAUUGAAAUCGAAGUUUGUAUGUGAAAGUUAUGGCUGUUUUACGAACGGACUCCGAAUUAGAGGACAAAACGGUCCGAAAGUGGGAAAAUUUUGCGGCGGUGGCAAGAAAUUGAUGGAAACGGUGGGGAAAACACAUGAACUGGACUCUAACAAGACCUAACCAGCAACAAGACCUCGACCAGAACACAAACUCAACACUGCGGACUCUGAAACUGAAAUAUGCAAAGGUUAUGGCGCGGAAGGGUUGUAGGACAGGAAAACGAUAUGGCACUGGACUUAUGGGACGAACACAAGAACACUCAAAACUAAGGGUAGAUGUGAACCUAACGGUAUACCUGAAGCUUUGAUUACCACUUGAUAAGAACAAGGAUGGUCCGAUCUUCUGAAAGGUUCUGGUAACUCUUGAUUUGGUGGAGACGAGACAUAAAUUGAUCCGGCUUCCGAACAACACGAUCCGAAACCCUGCAAAUUUUUUAUUUUUUUGAUAUUUUUCUAUUACUUAGGUGCACUAAAGAAGUAACCAUAGAAAAUUUGAGCUUAAACAAGUGAAAGACGUGGCCUGCAGAAUUUUGUGAAGAUUACAAAAAAUGUGAAAAAAACUUCACAAGGUGAAAACUCAAAAUUCGAAGACGAAUUUGGAGAUUCUAAAAUUUUCAAACCCCCUAAAACCGAGGACAGACAGACACUAUAUUUUUUCUCAUCGAUUUUGAUAUAUGGAACAUUGAAAUCGAAGUUUGUAUGUGAAAGUUAUGGCUGUUUUACGAACGGACUCCGAAUUAGAGGACAAAACGGUCCGGAAGUGGGAAUAAUUUGUGGUGGUGGCUAGAAAUUGAUGGAAAUGGUGGGCAAAAACAUACCAACUAGACUCUAACAAGACCUAACCAGCAACAUCCUCGACCAGGACACAAACUUAAAAUUGCGGACUCUGAAACUGAAAUAUGCAAAGGCUAUUGCGCGGAAGGGUUGUAGGACAAGAAAACGAUAUGGCACUGGACUUAUGGGACGAAUACAAGAACACUCGAAACUAAGGGUAGAUGUGAACCUAACGGUAUACCUGAAGCUUUAUUACCACUUGAUGAAAUCAAGGGUGGCCCGAUCUUUCGACAGGUUCUGGUAACUCUCGAUUUGGUGGAGACGAGACAUAAAUCAAUGCGGCUUCCAAACAACGCGAUCUGAAACCCUGCAAUUUUUUUAUUUUAUUGAUAUUUUUAUUUUACUUAGGAGCAUUAAAGAAGUAACCAUAGAAAAUUUGAGCUUAAACAAGUAAAUGACGUGGCCUGCUGAAUUUUCUGAAGAUUGCGAAAAAUGUGAAAAAAACUUCACAAGGUGAAAACUCAAACUUCGGAGGUGAAUUUGGAGAAUCUAAAACUUUCAAAGCCGCAAAUAGCAGUGACAGACAGAUCCGAAUUUUUUUGAUCGAUUUUGAUAUAUCGAACAUUGAAAUCGGAGUUUGUAUGUGCAAGUUAUGGCUGUUUUACGAACGGACUCCGAAUUAGAGGACAAAACGGUCCGAAAGUGGGAAAAACUUGCAGCGAUGGCUAGAAACUGAUGGAAACGUUGGGGAAAAAACACGAACUGAACUCUAACAAGACCUAACCAGCAACAAGACCUCGACCAGGACACAAACUCAAAACUGCAGACUCGGAAACUGAAAUAUGCAAAGGCUAUGGCGCGGAAGGGUUGUAGGACACAAAAACGAUAUGGCACUGGACUUAUGGGACGAACACAAGAACACUCGAAACUAAGGGUAGAUGUGAACCUAAAUAUAUACCUGAAGCUUUGAUUACUACUUGAUGAGAACAAGGGUGGCCCGAUCUUCCGAAAGGUUCUGUUAACUCUCGAUUUAGUGGAGACGAGACACAAAUCGAUCCGGCUUCCGAACAACACGAAGGCAAACCCUGCAAUUUUUUUAUUUUUUUAUGUUUUUCUUUUACUUAGGUGCACUAAAGAAGUAACCACAGAAAAUUUGAGCUUAAACAAGUGAAAGACGUGGCUUGCAGAAUUUUCUAUAGAUUGUGAAAAAUGUGAAAAAAACUUCACGAGGUGAAAACUUAAACUUCGGAGGUGUAUUUGGAAGUUCUAAAUUUUUCAAACCCGCUUGUGGUAGGGACAGGCAAACCCGAAAUUUUUUCUGAUUGAUUUUGAUAUAUGGAACGUUGAAAUCGGAGUUCGUACGCGAAUGUUAUGGCUAUUUUACAAACGAACUGCGAAUUAGAGUACAAAACGGUCCGAAAGUGGGAAAAAUUUGCGGCGGUGCCCAGAAAUUGAUGGAAACGGUGGGGAAAAACAUACUAACUGGACUCUAACAAGACCUAACCAGCAACAACCUCGACCAGGACACAAACUCAAAACAACGGACUCUGAAUCUGAAAUAUGGAAAAGCUAUGGCGCGGAAGGGUUGUAGAACAGGAAAACAAUAUGGCACUGGACUCAUGGGACGAACAUAAGAACACAAGAAACUAAGGGUAGAUGUGAACCUAACGGUACACCUAAAGCUUUGAUUACCACUUGAUGAGAACAAGGGUGGCCCGAUCUUCCGAAAGGUUUUGGUAACUCUCGAUUUGGUGGAGAUGAGACACAAAUCGAUACGGCUUAUGAACAACACGAUCCGAAACCCUACAUUUUUUUUAUUUUUUUGAUAUUUUUAUUUUACUUAGGAGCACUAAAGGAGUAACCACAGAAAAUUUGAGCUUAAACAAGUGAAAGACAUGGCCUGUUGAAUUUCUCAAGAUUGUGAAAAAUGUGAAAAGAACUUCACGUAUUGGAAACUCAAACUUCGGAGGCGAAUUUCAAGAUUCUAAAAUUGUCAAACACGCAAAAGUGAGGGACAAACAUAUCUCAAAUUUUUUCUUAUCGAUUUUGAUAUAUGGAACGUUGAAAUCGGAGUUCGUAUGCGAAAGUUAUGGCUGUUUUACGAACAGACUCCGAAUUAGAGGACAAAACGAUCCGAAAGUGGGAAUAAUUCGCGGUGGUGGCUAGAAAUUGAUGGAAAUGGUGGGGAAAAACAUACGAACUAGACUCUAACAAGACCUAACCAGCAACAUCCUCGACCAAGACACAAACUCAAAAUUGCGGACUCUGAAACUGAAAUAUGCAAAGGCUAUUGCGCGGAAGGGUUGUAGAACAAGAAAACGAUAUGGCACUGGACUUAUGGGACGAAUACAAGAACACUCGAAACUAAGUGUAGAUGUGAACCUAACGGUAUACCUGAAGCUUUAUUACCACUUGAUGAGAUCAAGGGUGGCCCGAUCUUUCGACAGGUUCUGGUAACUCUCGAUUUGGUGGAGACGAGACACAAAUCAAUGCGGCUUCCAAACAACGCGAUCUGAAACCCUGCAAUUUUUUUAUUUUAUUGAUAUUUUUAUUUUACUUAGGAGCAUUAAAGAAGUAACCAUAAAAAAUUUGAGCUUAAACAAGUAAAAGACGUUUCCUGCAGAAUUUUCUGAAGAUCGCAAAAAAUGUGAAAAAAACAUCACAAGGUGAAAACUGAAACUUCGGAGGUGAAUUUGGAGAUUCUAAAACUUUCAAACCCGUAAAUAGCAGUAACAGACAGAUCCGAAUUUUUUUGAUCGAUUUUGAUAUAUGGAACAUUAAAAUCGGAGUUUGUAUGUGCAAGUUAUAGCUGUUUUACGAACGGACUCUGAAUCAGAGGACAAAACGGUCCGAAAGUGGGAAAAAGUUGCAGCGAUGGCUAGAAAUUGAUGGAAACGUUCGGAAAAAAACACGAACUAGACUCUAACAAGACCUAACCAGCAACAAGUCCUCGACCAGGACACAAACUCAAAACUGCAGACUCGGAAACUGAUAUAAAAAGGCUAUGGCGCGGAAGGGUUGUAGGACACAAAAACGAUAUGGCACUGGACUUAUGGGACGAACACAAGAACACUCGAAACUAAGGGUAGAUGUGAACCUAACGGUAUACCUGAAGCUUCGAUUACCACUUGAUGAGAACAAGGGUGGCCGGAUCUUCUGAAAGGUUCUGUUAACUCUCGAUUUGGUGGAGACGAGACACAAAUCGAUCCGGCUUCCGAACAACACGAAGGCAAACCCUGCAAUUUUUUUUAUUUUUUUGAUAUUUUUCUUUUACUUAGGUGCACUAAAGAAGUAACCACAGAAAAUUUGAGCUUAAUCAAGUGAAAGACGUGGCCUGCAGAAUUUUGUAAAGAUUGUGAAAAAUGUGAAAAAAAACUUCACAAGGUGAUAACUUAAACUUCGGAGGUGUAUUUGGAAAUUUUAAAAUUUUCAAUCCCGCUAGUGGUAGGGACAGGCAAACCCGAAAUUUUUUCUGAUUGAUUUUGAUAUAUGGAACAUUGAAAUCGGAGUUCGUACGCGAAUGUUAUGGCUAUUUUACGAACAGACUCCGAAUUAGAGAACAAAACGGUCCGAAAGUGGGAAAAAUUUGCGGCGGUGGCUAGAAAUUGAUGGAAACCUGCGGACUUUGAAUGUGAAAUAUGCAAAAGCUAUGGCGCGGAAGGGUUGUAGAAUAGGAAAAUAAUAUGGCACUGGACUUAUGGGACGAACACAAGAACACUCGAAACUAAGGGUAGAUGUGAACCUAACGGUAUACCUAAAGCUUUGAUUACCACUUGAUGAGAACAAGGAUGGCCCGAUCUUCCGAAAGGUUCUGGUAACUCUCGAUUUGGUGGAGACGAGACACAAAUCGAUACGGCUUCUGAACAACACAAUCUGAAACCCUUCAUUUUUUUAUUUUUUUGAUAUUUUUAUUUUACUUAGGAGCACUAAAGGAGUAACCACAUAAAAUUUGAGCUUAAACAAGUGAAAGACAUGGCCUGUGGAAUUUCUGAAGAUUGUGAAAAAUGUGAAAAGAACUUCACGUAUUGGAAACUCAAACUUCGGAGGCGAAUUUCAGGAUUCUAAAGUGGUCAAACCCGCGAAAGUUAGGGACAAACAGACCUGAAAUUUUUUUCUGAUCGAUUUUGAUAUAUGGAACGUUGAAAUCGGAGUUCGUAUGCAAAAGUUAUGGCUGUUUUACGAACAGACUCCGAAUUAGAGGACAAAACGGUCCGAAAGUGGGAAAAAUUUGCGGCGGUGGCUAGAAAUUGAUGGAAACGGUGGGGAAAACACAUGAACUGGACUCUAACAAGACCUAACCAGCAACAAGACCUCGACCAGGACACAAACUCAACACUGCGGACUCUGAAACUGAAAUAUGCAAAGGCUAUGGCGUGGAAGGGUUGUAGGAUGGAAAAACGAUAUGGCACUGGACUUAUGGGACGAACACAACACUCAAAACUAAGGGUAGAUGUGAACCUAAUGGUAUACCUGAAGCUUUGAUUACCACUUGAUGAGAACAAGGGUGGCCCGAUCUUCUGAAUGGUUCUGGUAACUCUCGAUUUGGUGAAGACGAGACACAAAUCGAUCUGGCUUCCGAACAACACGAUCCGAAAUCCCGCAUUUUUUUAUUUUUUUAAUAUUUUCCUUUUACUUAGGAGCACUAAAGAAGUAACCAUAGAAAAAUUGAGCUUAAACAAGUAAAAGACGUGGCCUGCGGAAUUUUGUGAAGAUUACAAAAAAUGUGAAAAAAACUUCACAAGGUGAAAACUCAAACUUCGAAGACGAAUUUGGAGAUUCUAAAAUUUUCAAACCCCCUAAAACCGAGGACACACAGACAGACACUAAAUUUUUUUCUGAUCGAUUUUGAUAUAUGGAACAUUGAAAUCGGAGUUUGUAUGUGAAAGUUAUGGCUGUUUUACGAACGGGCUCCGAAUUAGAGGACAAAAUGGUGCGAAAGUGGGAAAAAGUUGCGGCGAUGGCUAGAACUUGAUGGAAACGGUGGGGAAAAAAACACGAACUGGACUCUAACAAGACCUAACCAGCAACAAGAGCUCGACCAGGACACAAACUCAAAACUGCGGACUCAGAAACUGAAAUAUGCGGCUGUGGCGCGGAAGGGUUGUAGGACACAAAAACGAUAUGGCACUGGACUUAUGGUACGAACACAGGAACACUCGAAACUAAGGGUAGAUUUGAACCUAUCGGUAUACCCGAAGCUUUGAUUACCACUUGAUGAGAACAAUGGUGGCCCGAUCUUCCGAAAGGUUUUGUUAACUCUCGAUUUGGUGGAGACGAGAGACAAAUCGAUCCGGCUUCCGAACAAUACGAUCCGAAACCCUUCAAUUUUUUUUAUUUUUCUGAUAUUUUUCUUUUACUUAGGUGCGCUAAAGAAGUAACCACAGAAAAUUUGAGCUUAAACAAGUGAAAGACGUGGCCUGUGGAAUUCUCUAAAGAUUGUGAAAAAUGUGAAAAAAAAUUCACGAGGUGAAAACUUAAAAUUCGGAGGUGAAUUUCAAAAUUCUAAAGUUUUCAAGCCCGCUAGUGGCAGGGACAGGCAGAUCCGAAAUUUUUUUCUGAUUGAUUUUGAUAUAUGGAACGUUGAAAUCGGAGUUCGUACGCGAAUAUUAUGACUAUUUUAUGAACAAACUCCGAAUGAGAGAACAAAACGGUCCGAAAGUGGAAAAAAAUUACGGUGGUGGCUAGAAAUUGAUGAAAACGGUGGGGAAAAACAUACUAAUUGGACUCUAACAAGACCUAACCAGCAACAACCUCGAUCAGGACACAAACUCAAAACUGCGGACUCUGAAUCUGAACUAUGCAAAAGCUAUGGCGCGGAAGGGUUGUAGAACAGAAAAACGAUAUGGCACUGGACUUAUGGGACGAACACAACAACACUCGAAACUAAGGUUAGAUGUGAAUCGGUAUACCUAAAGCUUUGAUUACCACUUGAUGAGAACAAGGGUGGCCCGAUCUUUCGAAAGGUUCUGGUAACUCUCGAUUUGGUGGAGACGAGACACAAAUCGAUACGGCUUCUGAACAACACGAUCCGAAACCCUGAAUUUUUUUAUUUUUUUGAUAUUUUUAUUUUACUUAGGAGCACUAAAGGAGUAACCACAGAAAAUUUGAGCUUAAAUAAUUGAAAGACAUGGCCUGUGGAAUUUUGUGAAGAUUACAAAAAAUGUGAAAAAAACUUCACGUAUUGGAAACUCAAACUUCGUAGGCGAAUUUCAGGAUUAUAAAUUGUCAAACCCGCGAAAGUUAGGGACAAACAGAUCUAAAAUUUUUUUCUGAUCGAUUUUGAUAGAUGGAACGUUGAAAUCGGAGUUCGUAUGCAAAAGUUAUGACUGUUUUACGAACAGACUCCGAAUUAGAGGACAAAACGGUGCGACACUGGAAAAAAUUUGCGACGGUGGCUAGAAAUUGAUGGAAACGGUGGUUAAAACAUAUGAACUGGACUCUAACAAGACCUAACCAGCAACAAGACCUUGACCAGGACACAAACUCAACACUGCGGACUCUGAAAGUGAAAUAUGCAAAGGCUAUGGCGCGGAAGGGUUGUAGGAUAGGAAAACGAUAUGGCACUGGACUUAUGGGACGAACACAAGAACACUCAAAACUAAGGGUAGAUGUGAACCUAACGGUAUACCUGAAGCUUUGAUUACCACUUGAUGAGAACAAGGGUGGCACGAUCUUCUGAAAGGUUCUGGUAACUCUCGAUUUGGUGAAGACGAGACAAAUCGAUCUGGCUUCCGAACAACACGAUGCGAAACCCCGCAUUUUUUUUAUUUUUUCAAUAUUUUCCUUUUACUUAGGUGCA
rnacentral:lncRNA from 1 species